CUCAUUUCCUUAGCCUAUAACCUACAGAAAGUGGAGUGCCUGUUUUUAGACAUGUUGCUGCUGGUCAUCAGUCUUCUGAAGCUUGCUCUGGACACCCACUGCCAUGUCUCCUUCAAGUGAAGAUUCUUUGAGUGACAAACCAACUGUGAGUCACAGAUCCUCAAAUAAUAUGUUCAGAAAGGAAUGAUGCCUUCAAGGAAGAGAAAAAAACUUUGACAAGAAGAUGGACCUGCCACUGCAGAGGACCCGUCACAGUUCCUAAAGCACUUGCCCAACAGGAGCUUCAAUGUUAAUUGUGAAAAAGCGGCAUGGGGU